GCGAACGCUGGCGGCAGGCCUAACACAUGCAAGUCGAACGAACCCUUCGGGGUUAGUGGCGGACGGGUGAGUAACACGUGGGAACGUACCUUUAGGUUCGGAACAACACAGGGAAACUUGUGCUAAUGCCGAAUGUGCCCUUCGGGGGAAAGAUUUAUCGCCGAUGGAUGAACCCGCGUCCGAUUAGCUUGUUGGUGAGGUAAUGGCUCACCAAGGCUUCGAUCGGUAGCUGGUCUGAGAGGAUGACUAGCCACACUGGGACUGAGACACGGCCCAGACUCCUACGGGAGGCAGCAGUGGGGAAUAUUGGACAAUGGGCGCAAGCCUGAUCCAGCAAUGCCGCGUGAAUGAUGAAGGCCUUAGGGUUGUAAAGUUCUUUCGCUCGUGACGAUGAUGACGGUAACGAGAGAAGAAGCCCCGGCUAACUUCGU
rnacentral:rRNA from 1 species